rnacentral:rRNA from 1 species
CCUACGGGGGGCUGCAGUGGGGAAUAUUGGACAAUGGGGGGAACCCUGAUCCAGCCAUGUCGCGUGUGUGAAGAAGGCCCUCGGGUUGUAAAGCACUUUCAGUGAGGAAGAACGCCUGGUGGUUAAUACCCAUCAGGAAAGACAUCACUCACAGAAGAAGCACCGGCUAACUCCGUGCCAGCAGCCGCGGUAAUACGGAGGGUGCGAGCGUUAAUCGGAAUUACUGGGCGUAAAGCGCGCGUAGGUGGCUUGAUAAGCCGGUUGUGAAAGCCCCGGGCUCAACCUGGGAACGGCAUCCGGAACUGUCAAGCUAGAGUGCAGGAGAGGAAGGUAGAAUUCCCGGUGUAGCGGUGAAAUGCGUAGAGAUCGGGAGGAAUACCAGUGGCGAAGGCGGCCUUCUGGACUGACACUGACACUGAGGUGCGAAAGCGUGGGUAGCAAACAGGAUUAGAUACCCUAGUAGUC